rnacentral:rRNA from 1 species
UACGAAGGGGCUAGCGUUGCUCGGAAUCACUGGGCGUAAAGCGCACGUAGGCGGCUCGUUAAGUCGGGGUGAAAUCCUGGAGCUCAACUCCAGAACUGCCCUCGAUACUGACGAGCUCGAGUCCGGGAGAGGUGAGUGGAGCUGCGAGUGUAGAGGUGAAAUUCGUAGAUAUUCGCAAGAACACCAGUGGCGAAGGCGGCUCACUGGCCCGGUACUGACGCUGAGGUGCGAAAGCGUGGGGAGCAAACAGGG